rnacentral:rRNA from 1 species
AACGAACGCUGGCGGCGCGCCUAAUACAUGCAAGUCGAGCGAGAAGACGUAGCAAUACGUUUGUAAAGCGGCGAACGGGUGAGGAAUACAUGGGUAACCUACCCUCGAGUGGGGAAUAACUAACCGAAAGGUUAGCUAAUACCGCAUACGGCUCCUGGUCUGCGGAUCGGGAGAGAAAGCGAUACCGUGGGUAUCGCGCUCUUGGAUGGGCUCAUGUCCUAUCAGCUUGUUGGUGAGGUAACGGCUCACCAAGGCUUCGACGGGUAGCUGGUCUGAGAGGACGAUCAGCCACACUGGCACUGCGACACGGGCCAGACUCCUACGGGAGGCAGCAGUAAGGAAUAUUGCGCAAUGGGCGACAGCCUGACGCAGCGACGCCGCGUGGGGGAUGAAGGUCUUCGGAUUGUAAACCCCUUUCGGCAGGGAAGAUGGAACGGGUAACCGUUCGGACGGUACCUGCAGAAGCAGCCACGGCUAACUUCGUGCCAGCAGCCGCGGUAAAAC